rnacentral:rRNA from 1 species
AUCUACAGCCAUACCACCCUGAACAUACCCAGUCUUGUCUGAUGUAGGAGUCUAAACAGGAUUGGGCCUGCUUAGUACUUGGAUGGGAGACAAAAGAAUACAGACCACUUCUGGUU